GAUGAACGCUGGCGGCGUGCCUAAUACAUGCAAGUCGAACGAAGAACCUUCGGGUUCUUAGUGGCGAACGGGUGAGUAAUACAUAAGCAACCUGCCCCUAUGUCUGGGAUAACUAUUGGAAACGAUAGCUAAUACCGGAUACGAGUAUCUCUGGCAUCUGAGAUAUUUAAAAGAUGGGUUACAUCGCAAAGGGAUGGGCUUAUGGCGCAUUAGCUAGUUGGUGAGGUAACGGCUCACCAAGGCGAUGAUGCGUAGCCGAUUUGAGAGGAUGAACGGCCACAUUGGGACUGAGAUACGGCCCAGACUCCUACGGGAGGCAGCAGUGGGGAAUAUUGGGCAAUGGGGGAAACCCUGACCCAGCAACGCCGCGUGAAGGAAGAAGGCCUUCGGGUUGUAAACUUCUUUUAGCAGGGACGAAGGACGUGACGGUACCUGCAGAAAAAGCAACGGCUAACUACGUG
rnacentral:rRNA from 1 species